rnacentral:lncRNA from 1 species
AUUCUGUGUUUUCAUCAAAUAAAUCCAGGCUUUGUGAGCAUAAGCAAUUUCUUUCAAAAACAUAAAAUCUUACCAUCCCCAAAUAAAACAGUAUUGUGAGAUUAUUAGUUAUGCUUGCUCAUAUUUGGGCAUUAGGCACGCAUGACCUCCUGAUAAUUAACUAAAAAACACCUUAGCAACCACAUAGCAGCUCCAUGGUAACCGCCUACAAUGUCUUACAUCAACGUCACCUAGAAAAAUCUAGUUUAAACAUAAUAUUUCUGCACACAAGGGGAAGCUGAUGUUUAGUUGCCUCAUUAAUUCAAGUGAUGUCUUUUAAUCAUCCGUGAUUGUUCGCACCCCUCCGUCGGCUCAAUGCAUGUGGAGAUCAAAUGAAUUUGAAAAUUGAUAUUUAGCACUCAUCACUAGUGCUAUUUGUGUUGUAACCGCAGCUGUCCGUCCCCUCUGCUCUUUGCCAAAUUAGGCCAAGCUGCCAGAGCUCCAGCCCUUUCCCUCUCCUGGAGGUCAGACCGUGACAGAGAAUGAGGAGCUGGUCUGGAUGCCUGGGGUCAACGACUGUGACCUGCUCAUGUACCUGCGGGCAGCCAGGAGCAUGGCAGCGUUUGCAGGGAUGUGUGAUGGGGGGUCAACAGAGGACGGCUGCAUCGCCGCCUCACGAGACGACACUACACUCAACGCAUUAAACACUGUAAGCUGAUAACAUAACUGACCUUUACUCCAGAUUACUGGGCCAAUACUAAAAUUAGAUUUGAAAAAACAUAAAACAGAGAAUGGAAAGUUAUUUUAUUUUGAUAGUGAUUAGCUUUAUAUAUAUUUUAAUGCUUAAAAUAUUAUUAAAACAGUUUUAAAUAAUACAAGUAUUCAAUAUUUAUGUGUGUGGUUAUUUUGCUUGAUGGCAGGUCAAUUGAUUCAUUAUUCAAUGCUUUUCAAUACACAAGCAAUUUUUUUGCAAAUUUAAAAUGAUUACAAUACACAAUUAUUUGUUUUCAUCAGUUUGCACAUUGAUUUUCAUCUAAAUUUUAUAAUUAGAAUUUUGUACACUAACAAAUCACAAUUCUUUUACAUUUUUUUUUUUACUUCAUUAAUACCUGACACAAACUUUCAAGAUUUAAAAGUCAUAUUUCAAGAUAUGAUUAUGAUUGUAAUCAAGAAAAUGAGUACUAUUUUGCAAGUCUCUUUUAUAAAUUGUAUGCUAUACAGUCAUAUUCAUAUUGCAUAGAUAUUUAUCACGCUUACUGUGGUAUGUUUUGUUAUUUCCUGUCUAUGUAGACCGUUCCAAAUCAGUCUCUUUUGAGGUUGGUUUCAGUAAGUAUGCUGCCUUUGAAAAAACUGCCAAUGUAGGCAGCAUGAACGCUGAUUUUUUGGAUCAGAGAGGAAGUGUCAAG